rnacentral:snRNA from 1 species
GGAUGUUAGGACAAUCAUGCUACAACAUAUGUCACUCCACUGAUCACCAGGGUUGAUUUGGCUGAUGUGGCUGGCUAAGUGGGCAUCUCUAUCCUCCCUCACUGCUCCAUGUGCAUCUCUUCCAAAUGUGUGCAUGUGGUGGAAGAAUAUUACUACAGAAGGAAUGUACUAGACUUCAGCAAAAGGUAUAAAGUAGCUGUGUUCCCAUUAGAAUCUCCAAACAAGAUCAGUGUUCUUUUAUCUAAUGGUGCCUUCCCAGUUUAAAAUAAAUCAUGGGAGAUCAAUCUUCUA